UUGAUCCUGGCUCAGAAUCAACGCUGGCGGCGUGCCUAACACAUGCAAGUCGAACGCGAAAGCCCCGCAAGGGGUGAGUAGAGUGGCAAACGGGUGAGUUACGCGUGGGUGACCUGCCUUCGAGUGGGGGAUAACGUCUCGAAAGGGACUCUAAUACCGCAUGACAUCCUGCUUUUUAAGCGGUGGAGAUCAAAGCCGGUGAUCGCAAGACCUGGCGCUCGGAGAGGGGCCCGCGUCCGAUUAGCUAGUUGGUGGGGUAACGGCUCACCAAGGCAACGAUCGGUAGCCGGCCUGAGAGGUCGGACGGCCACACUGGGACUGAGACACGGCCCAGACUCCUACGGGAGGCUGCAGUGGGGAAUUGUUCGCAAUGGGCGCAAGCCUGACGACGCAACGCCGUGUGGAGGAUGAAGACCUUCGGGUCGUAAACUCCUUUCGAUCGAGACGAAUGGCCCCGGGGUGAACAACUCCGGGGAGUGACGGUACCGAGAGAAGAAGCUCCGGCUAACUCCGUGCCAGCAGCCGCGGUAAUAAGGU
rnacentral:rRNA from 1 species